rnacentral:rRNA from 1 species
AGUGAACGCUGGCGGUAGGCCUAACACAUGCAAGUCGAACGGCAGCACAGGAGAGCUUGCUCUCUGGGUGGCGAGUGGCGGACGGGUGAGGAAUACAUCGGAAUCUACUCUGUCGUGGGGGAUAACGUAGGGAAACUUACGCUAAUACCGCAUACGACCUACGGGUGAAAGCAGGGGACCUUCGGACCUUGCGCGAUUGAAUGAGCCGAUGUCGGAUUAGCUAGUUGGCGGGGUAAAGGCCCACCAAGGCGACGAUCCGUAGCUGGUCUGAGAGGAUGAUCAGCCAGACUGGAACUGGGACACGGUCCAGACUCCUACGGGAGGCAGCAGUGGGGAAUAUUGGACAAUGGGCGCAAGCCUGAUCCAGCCAUACCGCGUGGGUGAAGAAGGCCUUCGGGUUGUAAAGCCCUUUUGUUGGGAAAGAAAUCCAGCUGGCUAAUACCCGGUUGGGAUGACGGUACCCAAAGAAUAAGCACCGGCUAACUUCGUGCCAGCCGCCGCCGUAA